CUGAGAAACAUGGGGGCACUGAGACACUAGGAGACAUGGGGACAGUAGGGAACACUGGGUUACAUGGGGACACUGAGAUACAUGAUGACACUGGGAGAUAUGGUGUCCCCAUGUAACCCAGUGUUCCCUACUGUCCCCAUGUCUCCUAGUGUCUCAGUGCCCCCAUGUUUCUCAGU